UAUACUCUUUGAUCGAUCAUUCCUACAACCCAUUGCAAAAUGGUAUUCUCUAAGACCCAUUACAAAGUUACGCUGCUCGUGAUGGCUCUUAUUGCAGCAAUCAUGUUGCUCAGUACCUGCUCUGAGGCAGCUCUGGCAAAUCCAAACCUUGGACGAAGAGUACUAGGUGUCAUGCGCAGGCAAGCUCAGGAUAUUCCUACAUAUACAGCUGUACCUAUAGGAGGAGGAGGAGGCUAUACCCCCCGAAGCACGAGUCCAUGAGGAAGGAGUGGCCUAGCUAUACCGGCCACAGAACCACCAUAAUCGCCGGCCGGGGAAAUAAUUAAAACAUAUAUAGUUGUUGAAUAAAUAGUUGGUGUACGUUGGAGAUGGUGCGCUUGCGCGCGCUCACACGCAUAUAUUAAUAGUUUCAUUCAAAAUUUUAAACUUGAUAUUCGGACCAGAUAUCUAUCCUCUUAAGGUUUGGUUAUGUACCAGUUGCACUCUGUUGCAUGCAUAGUAGUGUUUAAUAAGAUCAUUGUGGUGAUUAGAUUGUUAA